rnacentral:rRNA from 1 species
UACGAAGGGGGCUAGCGUUGUUCGGAAUUACUGGGCGUAAAGCGCACGUAGGCGGGAUGGCAAGUCGGUCGUGAAAUCCCUCGGCUCAACCGAGGAACGUCGAUCGAUACUGCUGUUCUUGAGGAUUGCAGAGGAGACUGGAAUUCCCGGUGUAGCGGUGAAAUGUGUAGAGAUCGGGAGGAACACCGGUGGCGAAGGCGGGUCUCUGGGCAAUUCCUGACGCUGAGGCGCGAAAGCGUGGGGAGCAAACGGG